UUGGGAGAGGCUAAUCCGCUGCAUCCCAGAGGAAAGGUUAGUUAAGGAUAGUUAAAUUAUGUCUCUAUAUAAUGGUUGGUUAAGGAGAGUUAAAGUAUGUCUCUCUACAAAGGUUAGUUAUGGUUAUUUAAAGUAUGUCUCUUUCUAUAAAGGUUAGUUUAAGAUAGUCAAGUAUGUCUCUCUCUCUAAAGGUUACUUGUUGAUAGUUUAAGUAUUUCUCUCUCUAUAAAGGUUAGUUAUGGAUAUUUAAAGUAUGUCUCUCUCUAUAAAGGCUAGUAAUGGAUAGUUAAAGUAUGUCUCUCUCUAAAGCGUGGUUAUGGAUAAUUAAAGUAUGUCUCUCUCUAAACUUUCUAAAGGUUAGUUAAAGUAUGUAUCUCUCUAUAACGGCUGGUUAUGGAUAGUUAGUCUGUCUCUCUCUCAUUAUAAAGGGAUGAUAGAUAGUACAGUUGUAUGACCAAUCAAAUGGAUUGAUACCAGCCCCUUGGGUUCCUUCUCCUCCAUGAUGACAAAAGUAACUUUCUGCUCUGAAACAAUAAGCUGAACCAGUUGUCUCUGGAGGGGUUCAACUAAAACACGCCUGGACCUUUAACGGACCCUGAAGUCCCUCCAGCUGGGCUCCUAUCUCGGGUCCAUCUUGUUUCUUCUACCCUUCCUGGGUCCAGGUCACGUAUUGUGUACUACGCUUUAGUUAUGUAGGGCCUGCUGUUCAGAGCUGGUGUCAUUCAAACGUCCUCCCAUGGUUAACCUCAUUCAUCUGUUCUACAUCUAAUUCUGCUGACAUUUAAAAACUGGACUUCUGCAAGUUACAAGCACACAGGACACACCACACAAGACCGCCUGUCUUCACCGUUUUUAAGGGCUGUUUAUUACAAAAGGACUGUACAUAAAUUUCCAUGAACAUACUGUAUGUACAUGAGUGGAGGAAAGACAAGAAAUCUACGCAUUCUGUUCCCAAUAAGAACAAAGUCACAGAUCAGUUUAUUGGUUUUAGUUUUUUCUCUUUUCUCCACGUUUUCGUCAUAAGAAAAGAAACACACGCAAGAGCAGGCGAGCCUGUGACGUCAGCUCACAGGUUAGUGGUAAACAUUACAUCGUUCAGCCAGGGGUCAACAUCACCUCUAGGAAACCAAAGAAUAAAUAAACCAUUGACAUACAGCUGCAAGCAGACCUUCCCCAGCAGUGUAGGACUCAAAUAAUAAAGAAAGGAGGAGAAACCAAUGCAUUGCUAGAAAUGUGUCACAGAAAAAUUAUUUGAUUUUGUUUGUUCCACAAAAAUGCCAAAUAGCCCUGGAAGGAAACGUAAGAAACGGUUGAAUAGAGCGUGUUGAUGAUGUAGAGGACAAGGAUCACCAGCUGUGAGUCUUUCAAUACGUUCAUCACACACAAAAAGCUGAUGACACUGGUCAACAAGCCAGUGAAAUACAUGGUCUUCCAUUGUUUCGUUUGAGGGAUUCUCUUUGAAUGUACGAUACAGCUACUAGAUUUGAACUCCUCCCAUCGACAGAUGAGUGAACCCUAAAUGCCGAGUACACAUUCAUCCAAAUAUUGAUGUUUAUUUUGUUAAAAACGCCUAAGACGAAUGGUGAGUGUCAGCGUGUCACGGUCAUGUCAUGCAGAAGUUGCUUCAAGGUUCAAAACAUCCGCAUCACUUUGUGAAAUUCACUCAUCGGUUCCAUAAGCUGUAUGAUUUCUACGGUUUAAAUCGAU